rnacentral:rRNA from 1 species
AAAGUUUGAUCAUGGCUCAGGAUGAACGCUAGCUACAGGCUUAACACAUGCAAGUCGAGGGGCAGCAUGAACUUAGCUUGCUAAGUUUGAUGGCGACCGGCGCACGGGUGAGUAACACGUAUCCAACCUGCCGAUGACUCGGGGAUAGCCUUCCGAAAGAAAGAUUAAUACCCGAUGGCAUAGUUCUUCCGCAUGGUAGAACUAUUAAAGAAUUUCGGUCAUCGAUGGGGAUGCGUUCCAUUAGGUUG